rnacentral:rRNA from 1 species
UCAAGCGAACAAGGGCGCAGGGCGAAUGCCUUGGCACUGGGAGCCGAUGAAAGACGUGAUAAGCUGCGAUAAGCUUCGGGGAGCUGCAAAUAAGCAUUGAUCCGGAGAUUUCUGAAUGAGGAAACUCACCUGGGUUCAUACUCAGGUACGUUAUACUGAACUUAAAAAUAGGUAUAUCGAGGGAACCGCCUGAACUGAAACAUCUAAGUAGGGCGAGGAAGAGACAUCAAACGAGAUUCCGUAAGUAGUGGCGAGCGAACGCGGAAGAGGGCAAACCGGGAGUAGAAAUACUUCCGGGGUACGGACUGCUUUUAGGACUUAAUCUGUUAACCGAACGGCAUGGGAAGGCCGGUCAGAGAGUGUGAGAACCACGUAGGUGAAAACGGAGAGAGCUGCGCAGGAUCCAGAGUACGGCCAGACACGUGAAACCUGGUCGGAAUACGGGGGGACCACCCUCCAACCCUAAAUACUACCCAGUGACCGAUAGCGUAUAGUACUGUGAAGGAAAGGUGAAAAGCACCCCGGGAGGGGAGUGAAAAAGAACCUGAAACCCUGUGCCUACAAGCACCUAGAGCACGUCAAUGUGUGAUAGGGUACUUUUUGUAGAACGGUCCGGCGAGCGAUUGUAUGCAGCAAGGUUAAGGACUUAAGGUCUGGAGCCGAAGCGAAAGCGAGUUUGAAAAGGGCGUUAAGUUGCAUAUAAUGGGCCCGAAACCGGGUGACCUACCCAUGGUCAGGUUGAAGUGGAAGUAAAAUUCCAUGGAGGACCGAACCGACCUCCGUUGAAAAGGCGGCGGAUGAACUGUGGGUAGCGGAGAAAUUCCAAUCGAACCCGGAGAUAGCUGGUUCUCCCCGAAAUAGUUUUAGGACUAGCCUCAAGUUAGAUACCUGGAGGUAAAGCACUGAAUAGCCUAGCGGCCGAGAGGUUAGCGAAGCUUAUCAAACUCAGAAUGCCAGAGUAUUGAUGCUUGGGAGUCAGACAGUGUCAGAUAAAUGUCAUUGUCAAAAGGGAAACAGCCCAGAUCUACAGCUAAGGUCCCAAAGUCAGGUUAAGUGGAAAACGAUGUGAAGAUACGCAGACAACCAGGAUGUUGGCUCAGAAGCAGCCACUCAUUCAAAGAGUGCGUAAUAGCUCACUGGUCGAGCGUCUUUGCGCGGAGAAUUUAACGGGGCUAAACCUGACACCGAAGCUUAGGCAAUACAGCAAUGUAUUGGGUAGGGGAGCGUUGUAUACGCGGUGAAACAGUAGCGCAAGCGGCUGUGGAGUGUAUAGAAGUGAGAAUGCCGGAAUGAGUAGCGCGAAUGCAGUGAGAAUCUGCAUGGCCGAAAGCCUCAGGUUUCUGGAGGAAGGUUCGUCCGCUCCAGGUUAGUCGGGAGCUAAGGUGAGGCCUAACGGCGUAGCCGAUGCACAGACGGUAGAGAUUCCGUCACCACCAAAAGAGUUAAGCACAGGGACACAUUUGAAGUCUCGGAGCCGGGUGUUGGUUCCGGUAGCGAUCGAGGGAAAUUAGUACCGAAGUCCGGGAUGGAAGAUGGCGAGAAAAGCUGUGUGUAUUUCUGCGGUGCCCGUACCGCAAACCGACACAGGUAGGUAGGAAGAAGAUUCUAAGGCCAACGGGAGAAGGGUUGUUAAGGAACUCGGCAAAUUGACCCCGUAACUUCGGGAGAAGGGGUGCUCCAGAGAUGGAGCCGCAGAGAAUCGGCCCAAGCAACUGUUUACCAAAAACACAGGUUUGUGCUAAAUCGAAAGAUGACGUAUACGAGCUGACGCCUGCCCGGUGCUGGAAGGUUAAGAGGAGAUGUGCAAGCAUUGAAUCGAAGCCCCAGUGAACGGCGGCCGUAACUAUAACGGUCCUAAGGUAGCGAAAUUCCUUGUCAGGUAAGUUCUGACCCGCAUGAAAGGCGUAAUGAUUUGGGCACUGUCUC